GGUUCGGGCGUCCUCUCCCAGCCGCCUCCUCUUCUCCCUCGACCAUGAGGCUCCUCUCGCGCCGCCCGCCUCCUCUUCUCCUUCCUUUCUCUGGACCGGGUGCGUAGUCGCCGCCGUUUAUGUCCGCGCAGCCGACCAGCUUCGCGGUGCCCGGAGCGCCUCCGGAGUUCGUCCCCCCUUCCCUGCUACUCUGCUCUCAUUAGGGAAGGUCGGAUCCAUUCACCCCCUCGCCCGGCAUCGCUCGGUGAAUAAGACAGACGAAAUUGAUGUGCGCUUCCUCUCCUCUCGCCCAACGAAGGCGGAAGAUGCAAGCGGUGGCUCCUCACCUAGCCGUACGGUGAUGGAUUCAAUGGAGAAGAGGAAGCAUGUUCCCUCCAUUACCUGGAAGUGAGUAUGCAAGAUAACUUCAAGCAAAGUGUACAGAGGCUGCAGCUGAAGCUGGAUUUUGAAGGUUGCAAGUUGGAUUCUAUUGGAACAAUCACUGAAAAUGAUGAGAGAGUUUGUCUCACAUGUGCUGCUCACUGAUGAGAAGUAGAUUGAAGUGAAUGGUGCUAGAGAAGAAGGAGCGGUCGGGAAAGUACACCAGUGAUGCCCUGCAAGGCGAGCAACAGGAAGCUAAGGAGAUGCUUAGUGUAAUCCCUGAGAAGCAAAGAGCGAACCAAAGAACAUGUCCGCUUCAAGGGUGCAACAGGAGUAGUCUGAUGAUAAGGCUGAAGCUAUUUCAGCAACUGUUGAAGGAAAGAAUGAUAAGGCUGACCAGUGUUAGAUGACCAAGACCGAAAACAAAAGAAUAACUUCUAAAAAAGGAGCUCUACUACUGGAAGGCAUAUUAAAGAAAUCAAGGCAGUGACUACUCUGCGCCAGCUAUGCAGAGAUUAAUUACCUAUAGGUUACCUAUCCUAUAAUAUUAGCUUCUCCUCGACUGACAUCUCAAGAGGAAAAUGGUCCUUCAUGCAACUAGGCUCACCAUCAACAAUGCUCCGCUACAAUGCUCUUUGACCAGCUUCAAGAGAGUCUCUUAAUGCGUCUGCUACUUGCAUGAACAAAGCCACGACCAGGAUUUAUGUAACCAGUGAACUGAAUGCUCCUUAUUAAGCAUGCUCUAAAACUAGAGUCUUUGGCUGCUCAGGUAGCUAUCUCAAAGCAAAGCAAAAACAAAAACUCCCGUAUAUUAUGAAGUGAACUCUAGCUUAUUGUGCA